rnacentral:rRNA from 1 species
UACGGAGGGUGCAAGCGUUGUUCGGAAUUAUUGGGCGUAAAGGGCAGGUAGGUGGUCUUGAAAGUCUGCUGUGAAAUCCCCGAGCUUAACUUGGGAAGUGCGGCAGAUACUCCAAGACUAGAGUACUGGAGGGGUUCGUGGAAUUCCUGGUGUAGCGGUGAAAUGCGCAGAUAUCAGGAGGAACACCGAUGGCGAAGGCAGGUCUCUGGGCCACUACUGACGCUGAGAAGCGAAAGCAUGGGGAGCGAACAGG